AGCAGCUGAGCGCUCAUCACCGGCACCGAUUCACCGCGAUCUCGGUUAGUGCCAUUCACUCACUUGAGUAUCCGAUUGGUUGUUGAUGAAUGGCUAGCUCCACACAGUAUCUUCUAAUUGGUUGAUCCAGUGGAAAAACUCAGCAUCAUGAGGGUCUUAAGUUUGCAUUCAACAGCUCCCCUCCCCCUCUCUUAGAGUCUCUAUAAGAGAGUCGCAUCAAUUUGAAGU